GGUUAUGGGUAUAAAUACCCUUAAAGCACCGGAUCCCACCUGAUCUUGAAAGCUAAGCAGGGUCGGACCUGGUUGGUUCCAGGUUGAUAGACCACCAAAGAAUAUGAAAUGCUAUCGGCU
rnacentral:rRNA from 11 species